rnacentral:misc_RNA from 1 species
AGUCAUUCAUAAUGGCCUCUAUCUAACAAAAGAUACAAAAAGUCAGUAACUGAUAUGUUAGAUUAUAGACAGAGAAUUUACCCCACUCCAUUUCACUUUUUGGAAAGUACAGCUUGUGAGGACAAAAAAAAAAUGCAUCACAUACAUCCCUCACUGUACACACACAUCAAACAAGAGAUGCCAAGAGGACAAAGAAAAACAGUGAGCAAACCUUUGCCUCUGAUUGACCAAAGCU